UUUCACUCAUCAGAUCCACCUGUUCCAGUUCCUAUUUAAACUGCUUGGUCCCAGACAUCAGUGCCAGAUUAAUCGAGCCGAAGGAGCUCUGAUCUUCUGGCCUGGACUUCUGUUUUGCCUCAUCAACACCGGCUCUUCCUUGGCUUCUCGUUCUGCUCUGCAGCACCUUUGGCUUCUUCUUCUGUAACUCUCUGGGCGGCUUCCACCUCAUGCUGCUGAACAUCACCCGAAUGGAUCUCACUCCUUCCUCUGUGCUCGGACUGAACUUAAAAACUAGAGAUUCCAGUCCUCCUGUCCAAGCCGAUGAGCCGCAGAUCCCAGAGCAGUUUAAAA